rnacentral:tmRNA from 1 species
GGGGGCGCACUGGUUUCGACGGGGACGUAUGAAGCCGUGACUGCGGGCCGAGGCGCCGCUGGCCUCGUAAAAAGCGGCACAAAAGUAAUUGGCAACGAUUACGAAUACGCUUACGCUGCUUAAUUAAGCAGUGCCAAGCCGACGGCCGACGCCUGAUAAGCCGCCGUCUUGGUCAACUUUAUCAGGCUUUGCGCUGGAUGGCGUCUUCCGCAAACAGCGCGAGAACAAACAGGAAGGCUGGCAGCGGACUGCCCUGACCCGGGGCGACCCCCGCUGUAAGAAAGAUAUACCAGGUCUACGCCCGUAGACGUUGCGAGUGGAAUGUUCUCGGACGCGGGUUCGAUUCCCGCCGCCUCCACCA